rnacentral:rRNA from 1 species
AGAGUUUGAUCCUGGCUCAGGAUGAACGCUGGCGGCAUGCCUAAUACAUGCAAGUCGAACGAGAGACCUUCGGGUCUCUAGUGGCGAACGGGUGAGUAACACGUAGGGAACCUGCCCGUGCACCGGGAAUACGCUCUGGAAACGGAGAACAAAUCCCGAUGUACAGGAAGGAGGCAUCUUCUUUCUGUGAAACAUCCUUUAGGGGAUGGGGCGCGGAUGGACCUGCGGUGCAUUAGUUGGUUGGCGGGGUAAAGGCCCACCAAGACGAUGAUGCAUAGCCGGCCUGAGAGGGCGGACGGCCACAUUGGGACUGAGACACGGCCCAGACUCCUGCGGGAGGCAGCAGUAGGGGAUUUUCGUCAAUGGGCGCAAGCCUGAACGAGCGAUGCCGCGUGAGUGAAGAAGGCCUUCGGGUCGUAAAGCUCUGUUGCGGGGGAAAAAAGGCAGCAUCAGGAAAUGGGUGCUGACUGAUGGUGCCCCGCCAGAAAGUCACGGCUAACUACGUGCCAGCAGCCGCGGUAAUACGUAGGUGGCGAGCGUUAUCCGGAAUGAUUGGGCGUAAAGGGUGCGCAGGCGGUCCUGCAAGUCUGGAGUGAAACGCAUGAGCUCAACUCAUGCAUGGCUUUGGAAACUGGAGGACUGGAGAGCAGGAGAGGGCGGUGGAACUCCAUGUGUAGCGGUAAAAUGCGUAGAUAUAUGGAAGAACACCAGUGGCGAAGGCGGCCGCCUGGCCUGUUGCUGACGCUGAGGCACGAAAGCGUGGGGAGCAAAUAGGAUUAGAUACCCUAGUAGUCCACGCCGUAAACGAUGAGGACCAAGUGUUGGGGGUGAAACCUCAGUGCUGAAGUUAGCGCAGUGAGUCCUCCACCUGGGGAGUACGCCGGCAACGGUGAAACUCAAAGGAAUUGACGGGGGCCCGCACAAGCGGAGGAACAUGUGGUUUAAUUCGAUGAUACGCGAGGAACCUUACCCGGGCUCAAACGCAGGAUGACGGGUCCCGAAAGGGGCCUUUCUUCGGACAUUCUGCGAGGUGCUGCAUGGUUGUCGUCAGCUCGUGCCGUGAGGUGUCGGCUUAAGUGCCAUAACGAGCGCAACCCCUGUCCACAGUUGCCAGCAGGUAAAGCUGGGGACUCUGUGGAGACUGCCGGCGCAAGCUGCGAGGAAGGCGGGGAUGACGUCAAAUCAGCACGGCCCUUACGUCCGGGGCGACACACGUGUUACAAUGGCAGGUACAGCGGGAUGCCACGGGGCGACCCGGCGCUGAACCCGAAAACCUGUCUCAGUUCGGAUUGGAGUCUGCAACCCGACUCCAUGAAGCUGGAUUCGCUAGUAAUCGCGCAUCAGCCACGGCGCGGUGAAUACGUUCCCGGGCCUUGCACUCACCGCCCGUCAA